rnacentral:rRNA from 1 species
UUAAGCGACCAAGCGUACACGGUGGAUGCCCUGGCAGUCAGAGGCGAUGAAGGACGUGCUAAUCUGCGAAAAGCGCCGGUAAGGUGAUAUGAACCGUUAUAACCGGCGAUGUCCGAAUGGGGAAACCCAGUGUGACUCGUCACACUAUCAUUAACUGAAUCCAUAGGUUAAUGAGGCGAACCGGGGGAACUGAAACAUCUAAGUACCCCGAGGAAAAGAAAUCAACCGAGAUUCCCCCAGUAGCGGCGAGCGAACGGGGAGGAGCCCAGAGCCUGAAUCAGCAUGUGUGUUAGUGGAAGCGUCUGGAAAGGCGCGCGAUACAGGGUGACAGCCCCGUACACAAAAGCGCAUGUGCUGUGAGCUCGAUGAGUAGGGCGGGACACGUGGUAUCCUGUCUGAAUAUGGGGGGACCAUCCUCCAAGGCUAAAUACUCCUGACUGACCGAUAGUGAACCAGUACCGUGAGGGAAAGGCGAAAAGAACCCCGGCGAGGGGAGUGAAACAGAACCUGAAACCGUGUACGUACAAGCAGUGGGAGCCCCACCACUAAGCCAGUGGUGAACUCCACAUACGCAUCCUUUGCGGAAGAUACGGUUAACGGAGCGAAAGCGACGUUCAACCGCAAAAGAAGCAGAGGGGGCUUAGUGGUGGGGUGACUGCGUACCUUUUGUAUAAUGGGUCAGCGACUUAUAUUCUGUAGCAAGGUUAACCGUAUAGGGGAGCCGGAGGGAAACCGAGUCUUAACCGGGCGUUAAGUUGCAGGGUAUAGACCCGAAACCCGGUGAUCUAGCCAUGGGCAGGUUGAAGGUUGGGUAACACUAACUGGAGGACCGAACCGACUAAUGUUGAAAAAUUAGCGGAUGACCUGUGGCUGGGGGUGAAAGGCCAAUCAAACCGGGAGAUAGCUGGUUCUCCCCGAAAGCUAUUUAGGUAGCGCCUCGUGAAUUCAUCUCCGGGGGUAGAGCACUGUUUCGGCCAGGGGGCCAUCCCGGCUUACCAACCCGAUGCAAACUGCGAAUACCGGAGAAUGUUAUCACGGGAGACACACGGCGGGUGCUAACGUCCGUCGUGAAGAGGGAAACAACCCAGACCGCCAGCUAAGGUCCCAAAGUCAUGGUUAAGUGGGAAACGAUGUGGGAAGGCCCAGACAGCCAGGAUGUUGGCUUAGAAGCAGCCAUCAUUUAAAGAAAGCGUAAUAGCUCACUGGUCGAGUCGGCCUGCGCGGAAGAUGUAACGGGGCUAAACCAUGCACCGAAGCUGCGGCAGCGACACUGUGUGUUGUUGGGUAGGGGAGCGUUCUGUAAGCCUGCGAAGGUGUGCUGUGAGGCAUGCUGGAGGUAUCAGAAGUGCGAAUGCUGACAUAAGUAACGAUAAUGCGGGUGAAAAACCCGCACGCCGGAAGACCAAGGGUUCCUGUCCAACGUUAAUCGGGGCAGGGUGAGUCGACCCCUAAGGCGAGGCCGAAAGGCGUAGUCGAUGGGAAACGGGUUAAUAUUCCCGUACCUGGUGUUACUGCGAAGGGGGGACGGAGAAGGCUAUGUUGGCCGGGCGACGGUUGUCCCGGUUUAAGCGUGUAGGUGUGUGUUCCAGGAAAAUCCGGUUCACUUUAACACUGAGGCGUGACGACGAGGCACUACGGUGCUGAAGCAACAAAUGCCCUGCUUCCAGGAAAAGCCUCUAAGCCUCAGGUAACAUCAGAUCGUACCCGAAACCGACACAGGUGGUCAGGUAGAGAAUACCAAGGCGCUUGAGAGAACCCGGGUGAAGGAACUAGGCAAAAUGGUGCCGUAACUUCGGGAGAAGGCACGCUGACAUGUAGGUGAAGCGGUUUACCCGUGGAGCUGAAGUCAGUCGAAGAUACCAGCUGGCUGCAACUGUUUAUUAAAAACACAGCACUGUGCAAACACGAAAGUGGACGUAUACGGUGUGACGCCUGCCCGGUGCCGGAAGGUUAAUUGAUGGGGUCAGCGCAAGCGAAGCUCCUGAUCGAAGCCCCGGUAAACGGCGGCCGUAACUAUAACGGUCCUAAGGUAGCGAAAUUCCUUGUCGGGUAAGUUCCGACCUGCACGAAUGGCGUAAUGAUGGCCAGGCUGUCUCCACCCGGGACUCAGUGAAAUUGAACUCGCUGUGAAGAUGCAGUGUACCCGCGGCAAGACGGAAAGACCCCGUGAACCUUUACUAUAGCUUGACACUGAACACUGGUCCUUGAUGUGCAGGAUAGGUGGGAGGCUUUGAAGUGUGGACGCCAGUCUGCAUGGAGCCGUCCUUGAAAUACCACCCUUUAAUGGCUGGUGUUCUAACGUAGACCCGUGAACCGGGUUGCGGACAGUGUCUGGUGGGUAGUUUGACUGGGGCGGUCUCCUCCUAAAGCGUAACGGAGGAGCACGAAGGUUGGCUAAUCCUGGUCGGACAUCAGGAGGUUAGUGCAAUGGCAUAAGCCAGCUUGACUGCGAGCGUGACGGCGCGAGCAGGUGCGAAAGCAGGUCAUAGUGAUCCGGUGGUUCUGAAUGGAAGGGCCAUCGCUCAACGGAUAAAAGGUACUCCGGGGAUAACAGGCUGAUACCGCCCAAGAGUUCAUAUCGACGGCGGUGUUUGGCACCUCGAUGUCGGCUCAUCACAUCCUGGGGCUGAAGUAGGUCCCAAGGGUAUGGCUGUUCGCCAUUUAAAGUGGUACGCGAGCUGGGUUUAGAACGUCGUGAGACAGUUCGGUCCCUAUCUGCCGUGGGCGCUGGAGAACUGAGGGGGGCUGCUCCUAGUACGAGAGGACCGGAGUGGACGCAUCACUGGUGUUCGGGUUGUCAUGCCAAUGGCACUGCCCGGUAGCUAAAUGCGGAAGAGAUAAGUGCUGAAAGCAUCUAAGCACGAAACUUGCCCCGAGAUGAGUUCUCCCUGAGACUACAAGUCUCCUGAAGGAACGUUGAAGACGACGACGUUGAUAGGCCGGGUGUGUAAGCGCAGCGAUGCGUUGAGCUAACCGGUACUAAUGAACCGUGAGGCUUAACCUU